rnacentral:rRNA from 1 species
UGAACAGCCAAGUAGCGUGAAGGAUGACUGCCCUAUGGGUUGUAAACUUCUUUUAUAAAGGAAUAAAGUCGGGUAUGCAUACCCGUUUGCAUGUACUUUAUGAAUAAGGAUCGGCUAACUCCGUGCCAGCAGCCGCGGUAAUACGGAGGAUCCGAGCGUUAUCCGGAUUUAUUGGGUUUAAAGGGAGCGUAGAUGGAUGUUUAAGUCAGUUGUGAAAGUUUGCGA